AGGUGGUGGAUGCCGGUCGAACUUACCAUUAAAAUAUUGGUUAUAAUAGGUCCUCCAAGAAUGAUUACCAGAGAAAAACUACUGAUGACCUAUGAAAUAUAUUUUUCAUCCGUGCUUUAAAUGUAAGGAGGAUGCAUCCCUAUUGCAUAUUGGACAUGUAAGAUAUCCUUUGGUGCUCCAUCCAGAUAAGUUUUCAUAUACAAAAAAAUCAUUUAUGGUCCAU
rnacentral:lncRNA from 1 species